CUCCUACGGGUGGCUGCAGUGGGGAAUUUUGGACAAUGGGCGCAAGCCUGAUCCAGCCAUGCCGCGUGCAGGAUGAAGGCCUUCGGGUUGUAAACUGCUUUUGUACGGAACGAAAAGACUCUUUCUAAUAAAGAGGGUCCAUGACGGUACCGUAAGAAUAAGCACCGGCUAACUACGUGCCAGCAGCCGCGGUAAUACGUAGGGUGCAAGCGUUAAUCGGAAUUACUGGGCGUAAAGCGUGCGCAGGCGGUUAUGUAAGACAGAUGUGAAAUCCCCGGGCUCAACCUGGGAACUGCAUUUGUGACUGCAUAGCUAGAGUACGGCAGAGGGGGAUGGAAUUCCGCGUGUAGCAGUGAAAUGCGUAGAUAUGCGGAGGAACACCGAUGGCGAAGGCAAUCCCCUGGGCCUGUACUGACGCUCAUGCACGAAAGCGUGGGGAGCAAACAGGAUUAGAUACCCUGGUAGUCCACGCCCUAAACGAUGUCAACUGGUUGUUGGGUCUUCACUGACUCAGUAACGAAGCUAACGCGUGAAGUGACC
rnacentral:rRNA from 1 species